CAGUCGAACGGGAAUUACUUUAUUGAAACUUCGGUCGAUUUAAUUUAAUUCUACUGGCGGACGGGUGAGUAACGCGUGGGUAACCUGCCUUAUACAGGGGGAUAACAGUCAGAAAUGACUGCUAAUACCGCAUAAGCGCACAGAGCUGCAUGGCUCAGUGUGAAAAACUCCGGUGGUAUAAGAUGGACCCGCGUUGGAUUAGCUAGUUGGUGAGGUAACGGCCCACCAAGGCGACGAUCCAUAGCCGGCCUGAGAGGGUGAACGGCCACAUUGGGACUGAGACACGGCCCAGACUCCUACGGGAGGCAGCAGUGGGGAAUAUUGCACAAUGGGGGAAACCCUGAUGCAGCGACGCCGCGUGAAGGAAGAAGUAUCUCGGUAUGUAAACUUCUAUCAGCAGGGAAGAAAAUGACGGUACCUGACUAAGAAGCCCCGGCUAACUACGUGCCAGCAGCCGCGGUAAUACGUAGGGGGCAAGCGUUAUCCGGAUUUACUGGGUGUAAAGGGAGCGUAGACGGAUGGACAAGUCUGAUGUGAAGGCUGGGGCUCAACCCCGGGACUGCAUUGGAAACUGCCCGUCUUGAGUGCCGGAGAGGUAAGCGGAAUUCCUAGUGUAGCGGUGAAAUGCGUAGAUAUUAGGAGGAACACCAGUGG
rnacentral:rRNA from 1 species